AGUCGGACAGUCCUGAGAGGAGGAAUUAAGAGGAAACUCUCACCUAGACAUAACACAGCCUUGUGAGGACACCAGAGACAAAGGGAAUACCCAAAGCAGCCAGAAAUAGAAGACUGCCUGUGAAGAAAUGCCCAUCAAGUUGGCCAAUACUUGUCAAGGGGAGCCAGAGGGCAUCUUUGAAGUCCCAUAGAGGUCCCUGUGAAACUGAGUUGGGGAUGAUGGAAAAAAGGCCUCAGGAAAUUUAUCAUUAACAAAGUGUAUGGGAACAGGCUGGUGGUCCCUAUGAGAAAGUCCUAAUACAUCCUGCUCACGUGCUUUCCAGGGACCAGAAUGAUAAACGCUGCUUGGGGACAGGUGACCUGAGUAGACAGAUAGCCAGGACUGGUAUGCAGACCUUGCCCAUUCCAUACCCACUCAACUUUGUGUCCUCACUGAAAACAAACAAAAACCAUUGAGUCCAACUUGGGCCAUCGAUAAACUCUUGGCUGUGUGGCCCUGCUGACAUCAGUUAUCAAUACUCUCGGCUGUGUGGCCCUGCUGACAUCAGUUAUCAAUAGCUCCUCAGUUGGGGAUGGGACUUGGAGCCUACCUUCCCAUCUAUGCUGGCAUCUGCCUGGCUUCACUUUGUUCCCUGUUCAACCAUCACAAUGGCGGCCAACAGAGGGGCAUCAUGGGACUUCUAGUCACCCAGGAUGGUGGAGACCAAGUCUGUCGUGUGCACCGGCAUACUGUGACAUGUAAAGCUCUUCACGGAAAUCCUCCCUUCACUCCACACCCAGCAUGCCGCUGUGGUUGCUCCCAGCCCAGGAAACACAGCUGGUGGUGAGGAGGGUGGCAGGAAUAAACUCUCAGCGCCGUAGAAAACAAACACCGAGUACCCAGUAGAGCUGAGCCGCUGCGGAGCCGCUGCACCGGGGUUUAUCCGGCUAGGUUUUUCCACAUGCACGUGCUGGUGAUUAAGGAAGGAAGUGUUUGAAGAGGAGGCGGUUUCCAUAAACAGUUGCCUUGAUGAGCUGGGGACAGCGCAAGUCCGGGGACAGCGCCCUGGAACCCUCUUUAAUCUGUCUUGUGAUCUCAUUUCCACAUGGACUGAAGACUGUGUUCAUGUGACCUUCGAGAGAACGGGGCGUGGAGCCCGAAGAUAUCGGUUUCCAUGCAGGAAACGGAACUGCCUCGAGGCUGUAGAUGGUAUCUGUUGUCCAUUCUGUGCUGUAGACUCUUCAGAGAGUAGAGCUCUGAUGCCCCCCUGCUUCUAGAAGCGGGCACUGUGGUUCCUUGGGACCACACCUUCCGACUGCCCCACGAAAACAUGGCGGAAUUACAGUAAGGAAUCUCCAGACGUAAAAUUCCCCUGCCGUGAUGUCACCCAGAGCUCCUGUAGAAAGCAGUGAUCCACUGUCAUCAGCUGAGUGAGUGGCUGUGGCUAACAUUUGGGACUCACAGCUAAAGAUUUUUCUGGAAACAGCACCUCCGGCAUGGAGGGGGGGGUCGGGGAGCUGGGUGGAGGAGAGAUGACCUACAGAUAGUUUGCUUGUGCUAGUGACACACAGUGU